rnacentral:miRNA from 14 species
CUUCUGGGACACAGGGAAGCUUGCUUGGUUUGUUGACUGUCCUCUUACUAACGUGAGUUUCUUUCGUGUCCUAG